CGCAGUCUAGUCAAAUUCAGUGUGUCCUCUUCAGUGGACUGUACUGGCCAAAUGGCUGCUAUAGUGAUGUCAUAGUCCAUGGGCCCCGGGUCUAACUUAAAUAGAUACUGGGGAUAAUUAAUGGCUAUGUACAACC